UUUGCUGAGCUCCAUCUUUGUUGCUGCUCUCCUGAGUGUCACAGAUCGAUUGGAGAAACAAAAUUUGCUGUAGGCCAGUGGAAAAGACGGGAAUCCUCUCCUUGCUGGGUUUCAAGACCACUGAAGUUUCAAAGCUCACACUUCUUGCCUGAUUGUGAGCAAAGGCAGAGGGAAUCUACUGAGACCAGGAGGACACCUUAAUUUAUGAUUUAAUGGGAACAGGGAGACAAAACAUCCACAAAGACUAAAAAGUGCAGAGCAUAAUACAGUGAGC
rnacentral:lncRNA from 1 species